GUCCCUGUAGCUCAGCGGAUCAGAGCAUUUGCUUGCGGAGCAAAGGGUCGGGCGUUCGAAUCGCCCCAGGGACG
rnacentral:tRNA from 1 species